GAGUGGGCAUUCGAUUUCUUGACUGAACGCAGCUACGAUGAAUUUGGGCACCCGAGAGUUCAGGCAAGUGGCCGAAACUUGGCGUGCAGAUGGCAGUUAGUGACCUGUUAGUGACUCGUAAAAUAUUAAACAUAAUUUUCUGUAUAUAAAUAUAAGAUGAAAAAUAUAAUAAAUUAUGUAAUAAUAUAUAUGUAUAAGGCUAAUUUAUAUUAAGAAUUUAUUGAUUUAUUUUUUUUUACCAAAAAAAAAGUCUAUUUUUUUAUUUUUAUAUAUAUUGUGAAUUGGCUAAAUUACAGAAAACCCCCCUGUAAUAACCCGCUUUUCACUUUCCCCCCUGACAUUUAAAAACCUACACUUUGCCCUCCUGUAAAAUGAAAAAUGUUCACAUGGGGGUUACGGUGUGUAAAAUGACCAUUUUGCCCCUCGCCAUUGUCGUCUUCUUCCCCAUCUUCCUCAGCCGCCCCUUCGUUUGGCCGCGAUUCCUACCUCAAUCGACCGCGAUUUCUCUCCAUUUCCUUCUCCACCUGCUCCCCUUCUCCUCCUGCACCCUCGCCGCCCUCGAUUUCGGCGACAGUAGGAGAAAACCGAGGUGGGCGACAGUAGGAGAAGGGCAAAGAAGGCGAAGGUGAAGGCAAGGUGGCGGAGGACGGCGAAGGGGAUGUGGGUGAGGGCGAGGCAGUGGAGGACGGCGAGGCGGCUAGGCGGCGAGGCGGCGGCGAGAUGGCGAGCCGGAGGGAGUCGAAGCAACAGGGAGAUGGCGGAGGAGUAUUUUCGGUAUAAAAAUAUAUUUUUUAACGGAAUCCUGACGGAACCCUAACGGUAGGGGGUGAAGUGCACAUUUUUUAUUUUACAGGUGGGCGAAGUGUAGGUUUUUAAAUGUCAGGGAGGGAAAGUGAAAAAGCGGUUUAUUACAAUGGAGUUUUCUGUAAUUUAGCCUUAUGAAUUUCCAGUAAAGUGACAAAUUGCUCUCAUUCCUUUCUCUCUCAUCCGUCUUUCUAUCCCUCUUUAUUCCUCCUCCUCCUCCUCCUCCUCCUCCUCCACCACUCCCACAUUGCCGAUGCGCUCUUCCCCCGCAGCCACUGAUGCCG
rnacentral:lncRNA from 1 species